GAUGAACGCUGGCGGCGUGCCUAAUACAUGCAAGUCGAGCGAACAGACGAGGCGCUUGCUCCUCUGACGUUAGCGGCGGACGGGUGAGUAACACGUGGAUAACCUACCUAUAAGACUGGGAUAACUUCGGGAAACCGGAGCUAAUACCGGAUAAUAUAUUGAACCGCAUGGUUCAAUAGUGAAAGACGGUUUUGCUGUCACUUAUAGAUGGAUCCGCGCCGCAUUAGCUAGUUGGUAAGGUAACGGCUUACCAAGGCAACGAUGCGUAGCCGACCUGAGAGGGUGAUCGGCCACACUGGAACUGAGACGCGGUCCAGACUCCUACGGGAGGCAGCAGUAGGGAAUCUUCCGCAAUGGGCGAAAGCUUGACGGAGCAACGCCGCGUGAGUGAUGAAGGUCUUCGGAUCGUAAAACUCUGUUACUAGGGAAGAACAAAUGUGUAAGUAACUAUGCACGUAUUGACGGUACCUAAUCAGAAAGCCACGGCUAACUACGUG
rnacentral:rRNA from 1 species